GAACGGCUCUCGCUGGGAUACACGAAACACGUAGCGGCAGAUGCGCUGGAUAUAUGCAUAAUUUCCGGUACUUGUUUCAGGAAGGUUUUUUAAUUAAUCGGUAUAUACAGUCGUUAUUAUAUUACAUUCCGUUAGAGUCCCGUUUCGCACAUCAGACUUGAGGUUGGAACUAAUUUGAUUACAGGGUCCGAAUUGCUUCCAAGUACGAGUACAAGGCUAAUGUUAUGCAACUUCCUGGUUAUAAAACUGAUGAAAUUAAAGCUCGUGUAAGGAAAUCAAUAAGAGCCCAUUCCCCCGAUUCGAAUGCAUUCUGCUCUGCAUUAAGUCUUAUUUAGCAUUUCUAAAGAGUGUCAUUUGGAAUUGGUUACAUAACUUGUAUGUAAAUGCCACAACCUCCACGUUCAAUGAGUCCGUAUUGAAUAAAUCUACUAGAGAUAUAUUGAAUACUAAACCGAUAUUAUUAUUAUCGCUAGCAGUGGCAGGAGGCAACAGCCAGGACAAAAUAUGGGUAUUAUCGGGGAAUUAAUUAUAUUAUAUACGCUGAUAUUAGUUUCCUAAGGUUACAAAAUGUCAUGGUCAGAUGUUAUACAACUUAAUAAUCUAAUUUUACCAUCGCGCAGCAGCUCGCUUGAGAUUUUUUUUGAAUGUCAACAAUUAUACAAUUUCGGAAUAUUAUAUCCUCCGUUAAAAAAAGAAUUAAUUGUUUUACAUAUCUGAAACAAAAAAAUCCUACAAAAAUCAUUCGCCUAUCGGGAUGACAUCGUGAGGCCCUGUCUUUGCAGACCUAAAAAGCGGCAAGACAACGGACAGGAGUCCUAGAUAAAGCUUACUUUAUGGUUUGAGUGGUCGCUGAUCGAGCACCCUAUUUAUACAGCGUCUUUUUUACCAGGAACAUAUAGGAUUUUUAUUGUCUAUCCAAUUUCUUUAUAAGAAUUUCUAAACGAUGACUGCUCUACCAAUUGGAAUGGGCUUCCUUGAAUAUACUGUUCAGCUUGAAUUGUUGCGCUAGUUGUUUUUAAAUUGUUUAAUACUUUCGUUUUAAUUAUGUAUGCGAAGACUGCUGUUGCCAGAGGGCAGACACGUUGAGUCAUCUGAAACGUGCAUCUUACAUUUAAAGCGACUCCACUUGCGCUGCAUUCGCAUCUGUCAAGUGAUUAUUUCUCUCUUUAAUCUGCUUUACAAGUAAAUAAAUGAUUUUCUUUUCAUUGUAGUACAUUGUCUUUGAUUUAUCAUUCAAUUCGUCUUUUGAUUUUUCCUACAUGUUUGAUUCCCCGGAAAAGCAAGCACUGUAUCGUGUCAUCUGUUUCGAUUCCCAUGACUAGAUGUGGCUACUUUAUAUCAUAUGUUUUUCUUCAGUAAUAGAAAAUUAAAUAACGUAAGGAUCAUUUUAAGACAAGUCCACUAAGGAUUCGUUGAGAAGGGCUUUCAACGAUUUUCUGCGAGAAUAGAAAUUAUAAUGAUCUGAUGUAAUAAUCACGAGUCAUACAUUUUCGUGGGUUGUUAUUCUGAAAACAGGUGAUAUAUAGUAUAUAUCCUCCUUUAAACAACCUGAUUUAUUGCUUUACAUUUCUUUAACUGCAAGAGCCUGUACAUUCGUUUAUGGCGGUGGAUAUGGAGGUUUGGCGUUCGCAGAUACAAGAAGUGGCAAGGCAACGGCCAGAAGCAGUCCUAAGUAGAGCUUCAUUUUGGUUUGUGUGGUCACUGAAUACAAA